AAAUUGAAGAGUUUGAUCAUGGCUCAGAUUGAACGCUGGCGGCAGGCCUAACACAUGCAAGUCGAGCGGUAGCACAGAGAGCUUGCUCUCGGGUGACGAGCGGCGGACGGGUGAGUAAUGUCUGGGAAACUGCCUGAUGGAGGGGGAUAACUACUGGAAACGGUAGCUAAUACCGCAUAACGUCGCAAGACCAAAGUGGGGGACCUUCGGGCCUCAUGCCAUCAGAUGUGCCCAGAUGGGAUUAGCUAGUAGGUGGGGUAACGGCUCACCUAGGCGACGAUCCCUAGCUGGUCUGAGAGGAUGACCAGCCACACUGGAACUGAGACACGGUCCAGACUCCUACGGGAGGCAGCAGUGGGGAAUAUUGCACAAUGGGCGCAAGCCUGAUGCAGCCAUGCCGCGUGUGUGAAGAAGGCCUUCGGGUUGUAAAGCACUUUCAGCGGGGAGGAAGGCGAUAAGGUUAAUAACCUCAUCGAUUGACGUUACCCGCAGAAGAAGCACCGGCUAACUCCGUGCCAGCAGCCGCGGUAAUACGGAGGGUGCAAGCGUUAAUCGGAAUUACUGGGCGUAAAGCGCACGCAGGCGGUCUGUCAAGUCGGAUGUGAAAUCCCCGGGCUCAACCUGGGAACUGCAUUCGAAACUGGCAGGCUAGAGUCUUGUAGAGGGGGGUAGAAUUCCAGGUGUAGCGGUGAAAUGCGUAGAGAUCUGGAGGAAUACCGGUGGCGAAGGCGGCCCCCUGGACAAAGACUGACGCUCAGGUGCGAAAGCGUGGGGAGCAAACAGGAUUAGAUACCCUGGUAGUCCACGCCGUAAACGAUGUCGAUUUGGAGGUUGUGCCCUUGAGGCGUGGCUUCCGGAGCUAACGCGUUAAAUCGACCGCCUGGGGAGUACGGCCGCAAGGUUAAAACUCAAAUGAAUUGACGGGGGCCCGCACAAGCGGUGGAGCAUGUGGUUUAAUUCGAUGCAACGCGAAGAACCUUACCUGGUCUUGACAUCCACAGAACUUUCCAGAGAUGGAUUGGUGCCUUCGGGAACUGUGAGACAGGUGCUGCAUGGCUGUCGUCAGCUCGUGUUGUGAAAUGUUGGGUUAAGUCCCGCAACGAGCGCAACCCUUAUCCUUUGUUGCCAGCGGUCCGGCCGGGAACUCAAAGGAGACUGCCAGUGAUAAACUGGAGGAAGGUGGGGAUGACGUCAAGUCAUCAUGGCCCUUACGACCAGGGCUACACACGUGCUACAAUGGCAUAUACAAAGAGAAGCGACCUCGCGAGAGCAAGCGGACCUCAUAAAGUAUGUCGUAGUCCGGAUUGGAGUCUGCAACUCGACUCCAUGAAGUCGGAAUCGCUAGUAAUCGUAGAUCAGAAUGCUACGGUGAAUACGUUCCCGGGCCUUGUACACACCGCCCGUCACACCAUGGGAGUGGGUUGCAAAAGAAGUAGGUAGCUUAACCUUCGGGAGGGCGCUUACCACUUUGUGAUUCAUGACUGGGGUGAAGUCGUAACAAGGUAACCGUAGGGGAACCUGCGGUUGGAUCACCUCCUUA
rnacentral:rRNA from 1 species